GGAGAGGUGUCCGAGUGGUCGAAGGAGCGCGCCUCGAAAGCGCGUAGGCCCUAGCUGGUCUCGUGGGUUCGAAUCCCACCCUCUCCG
rnacentral:tRNA from 1 species